AUGACGACGACCAGCUUCCUCCCCCGUUCCGCGGCGGCGCCGCCGCUGGACGACGACGACCUGCUCUCCGAGAUCCUGCUCCGCCUCCCCCCGCAGCCCUCCUCCCUCCCACGCGCCUCCCUCGUCUGCAGGCGCUGGCGCAGCCUCCUCUCCGACCCCGCCUUCCGCCGCCGCUUCCGCAUCCACCACCGCCGCAGCCCUCCGCUCCUCGGCUUCAUCGACGCGAACCAGGGCAUCACCUUCCAGCCAGCCCUGGACGCCCCCGACCGCCUCCCCCGCGGCCACUUCUCCCUCGACCUCCACGACCGCUACAUGACCCUCGGAUGGCGCCACGGCCUCGCGCUCUUCUUCCUCCCGAUCUCGCUCCAGGUCGUCGUGUGGGACCCCGUCGCCGGCGUCCAGCACCGCCUGGCCGUCCCCCGGGGGUUCGGGUUCCACCCGUUGGAGAACCCCAUCAACGGGACGGUGCUCCGCGCCGCCGGAGAAAUCGACCACUUCCAGGUGGUCUUGGUAAGCAGCGACGGGAAGCAGCCUAGAAGAGCGCUCGGCCGCGUUUACUCGUCGGAGACCGGCGUAUGGGGCGAUACCAUCUCGUGCCCGGUUCCAUUGGUGUCUAUGGUUCAUUUAGGCGAGCCCGCUGUACUGGCGGGGGAUUGCAUUUAUUGGUUGGUUUCAGCAUCCAAUAUCCUCGAGUUUGAUUUGGGUAGGAAGAGCCUAGCUGUGACAUUGUUGCCAGCGCAGGUGCUUACCAGCCGCACUCGCCAUGUCGUGGUUAUGCGGACAGAGGGUGGUGGGAUGGGUCUCAUCGUCGUGUCAGGCUUCAUCGCCCAAUUUUGGAAGAGGGAGACAGACUGUCAUGGCGAUGUUUCUUGGAGCAGUGGAAGAACUAUUGAACUGGACAAGUUACUUCCCCCAAAUUCAGAGAAAGAGCCACCGAAUAUGAUAGGUUAUGCAGAGGAAAAUAAUGUGGCGUUCUUCUGGACAGUUGUUGGUGUCUUCAUGGUCCACCUUGAGUCAUUGCAGCUCAAGAAACUUCCUGUGACCGGCAUCGCUUAUCGUUACUAUCCAUUCGAAAUUGUCUACACUCCAGGCAUUGGUGGUGGACACGAGGGAGCGGAAGUUGUGAGGCAUUUGUGGUGGACACGGUGUAGACAAUACAUACGGCGAUUAUUCAGUUAG
rnacentral:rRNA from 1 species